rnacentral:rRNA from 1 species
UGUAAGCGUAUACCAAAGUUGUUGCAGUUAAAACGCUCGUAGUCGGAAUUUGGCAGUUCCGGAUGUGUGCACGUCGUGUGCGCACUUCGCGGGGAUUGCUUUUGUGGUCUUGCGUAGGAUGAGGCACUUUUAUUAGUGAACGUCCUCACGCAACCUCUUUUUACUGUGAGAAAAUCAGAGUGCUCAAAGCAGGCAUUUGCCGUGAGUGUAUUAGCAUGGAAUAAUAGAAUAGGACUCGGUUCUAUUUUGUUGGUUUGUUGGGACUGAGUAAUGAUUAAGAGGGACAGUUGGGGGCAUUUGUAUUCCGGCGCUAGAGGUGAAAUUCUUAGAUUGCCGGAAGACAAACUGCUGCGAAAGCGUCUGCCAAGGAUGUUUUCAUUGA